GCGAGAAAACUUUGCAAUGUGCGAAAGCACGACAAGGUUAAUCCGAGUGGUUUCUGCUAAAGAAACCUUUUGUCAGUCCUAGAAACACUAACGAAUAAGGGGUGGGCAAGUUCUGGUGUCAGCCGCCGCGGUAAAACCAGCACCUCAAGUGGUCAGGAUGAUUAUUGGGCCUAAAGCAUCCGUAGCUCGUUUUGUAAGUCUUCGGUUAAAUCCAUGCGCUUAACGUAUGGGCUGCCGGGAAUACUGCAUAACUAGGAAGUGGGAGAGGUAGACGGUACUCGGUAGGAAGGGGUAAAAUCCUUUGAUCUAUUGAUGACCACCUGUGGCGAAGGCGGUCUACCAGAACACGUUCGACGGUGAGGGAUGAAAGCUGGGGGAGCAAACCGGAUUAGAUACCCAAGUAGUCCCUGAGCGGGCUGGCAAGGCGCAU
rnacentral:rRNA from 1 species